AGUUUGUAGCAUCCAGCUGAGCUGGCAGACUUGCAGCAGCUGGCUGGUUGGUGCAAACAGG
rnacentral:pre_miRNA from 1 species